rnacentral:misc_RNA from 1 species
AAGUCGUAACAAGGUUUCCGUAGGUGAACCUGCGGAAGGAUCAUUAUCGAGUAAGGGUCUUUCAGGCCCGAUCUCCAACCCCGUGUCUAACUUACCAUGUUGCUUUGGCGGGCCCGCCCUUAGGAGCCGCCGGGGGCUUCACCGCCCCUGGUCCGUGCUCGCCAGUAGCUCUAUUAAAUUCUUUUUUAACUGUGUUUGCCUGAGUAUAAAUUUAAAUUGUUAAAA